AAGCUCGUAGUUGAAUUUCCGGUCUGGCUGGGUGGUCUUGCCGCAAGGUAAGCACUGCUCUGGUUGGGUCUUUCCUUCUGGGGAACCAGCGUGCUCUUAAUUGAGUGCACUGGGGAUCCAGGACUUUUACUUUGAAAAAAUUAGAGUGUUUAAAGCAGGCUUACGCUUGAAUACAUUAGCAUGGAAUAAUAGAAUAGGACUUUGGUUCUAUUUUGUUGGUUUCUAGGACCGAAGUAAUGAUUAAUAGGGAUAGUUGGGGGCAUUAGUAUUUAAUUGUCAGAGGUGAAAUUCUUGGAUUUAUGAAAGACUAACUUCUGCGAAAGCAUUUGCCAAGGAUGCUUUCAUUAAUCAAGAACGAAAGUUAGGGGAUCGAAGACGAUCAGAUACCGUCGUAGCCUUAACCAUAAACUAUGCCGACUAGGGAUCAGACGAUGUUAUUUUAUUGACUCGUUCGGCACCUUAUGAGAAAUCAAAGUUUUU
rnacentral:rRNA from 1 species